AUUGAACGCUGGCGGCAUGCCUUACACAUGCAAGUCGAACGGCAGCACGGGAGCAAUCCUGGUGGCGAGUGGCGAACGGGUGAGUAAUAUAUCGGAACGUGCCCAGUCGUGGGGAUAACGUAGCGAAAGCUACGCUAAUACCGCAUACGAUCUACGGAUGAAAGCGGGGGAUCGCAAGACCUCGCGCGAUUGGAGCGGCCGAUAUCAGAUUAGGUAGUUGGUGAGGUAAAGGCUCACCAAGCCGACGAUCUGUAGCUGGUCUGAGAGGACGACCAGCCACACUGGGACUGAGACACGGCCCAGACUCCUACGGGAGGCAGCAGUGGGGAAUUUUUGGACAAUGGCGCAAGACCUGAUCCAGCAAUGCCGCGUGCAGGAUGAAGG
rnacentral:rRNA from 1 species